CUACGGGCGGCAGCAGUCAAGAAUCUUGCGCAAUGGCCGAAAGGCUGACGCAGCGACGCCGCGUGACCGAAGAAGCCCUUCGGGGUGUAAAAGUCUUUUAUCAGGGACGAAUUUUGACGGUACCUGAUGAAUAAGGGGCUGCUAAACUCGUGCCAGCAGCAGCGGUGAAUACGAGUGCCCCGAGCGUUAUCCGGAUUUAUUGGGCGUAAAGCGUCUGUAGGCGGUCUGAUAAGUCGGUUGUUAAAUCUACGAGCUCAACUCGUGGGCCGCAUCCGAAACUAUUAGACUAGAGGCCGGAAGAGGCAGAUGGAAUUGCCGGUGUAGGGGUAGAAUCCGUUAAUAUCGGCAAGAACACCAAAUGCGAAAGCUUUCUGCUGGGACGGUUCUGACGCUGAGAGACGAAAGCGUGGGGAGCGAAUGGGAUUAGAUACCCGUGUAGUC
rnacentral:rRNA from 1 species